rnacentral:rRNA from 3 species
CGUCGUGAAGAGGGAAACAACCCAGACCGCCAGCUAAGGUCCCAAAGUCAUGGUUAAGUGGGAAACGAUGUGGGAAGGCCCAGACAGCCAGGAUGUUGGCUUAGAAGCAGCCAUCAUUUAAAGAAAGCGUAAUAGCUCACUGGUCGAGUCGGCCUGCGCGGAAGAUGUAACGGGGCUAAACCAUGCACCGAAGCUGCGGCAGCGACGCUUAUGCGUUGUUGGGUAGGGGAGCGUUCUGUAAGCCUGUGAAGGUGUGCUGUGAGGUAUGCUGGAGGUAUCAGAAGUGCGAAUGCUGACAUAAGUAACGAUAAAGCGGGUGAAAAGCCCGCUCGCCGGAAGACCAAGGGUUCCUGUCCAACGUUAAUCGGGGCAGGGUGAGUCGACCCCUAAGGCGAGGCCGAAAGGCGUAGUCGAUGGGAAACAGGUUAAUAUUCCUGUACUUGGUGUUACUGCGAAGGGGGGACGGAGAAGGCUAUGUUGGCCGGGCGACGGUUGUCCCGGUUUAAGCGUGUAGGCUGGUUUUCCAGGCAAAUCCGGAAAA